rnacentral:misc_RNA from 1 species
GUUUGCUUAUAGUUAUGUUUGUUUUGGAUAGCGUUUGUUUUGCUGAUUUUGCAAGGUAGUUUUGGAAGAGUUGCGGUCUACUUUAUAGCAUUAAAUUUUGGAUUGUCAUAAAAUUUCAUUUCUGUUGUUGGGGAAGGAAAGAGGCUGUCUAUGGUAUGUUAUAUGAGGUGAUUUGGAGAAGUGGGUUUGGAGGAGCCAUUGUUGAAUGCUUAUAUUGAUUGUUGCAUAGGCUCUAGCAUUGACAAUUUCUGGGAACUGUACUUUACUUGAUUUGUGGAUUAGAUUUGCAAUACCAUGGGAAACUCCAUUGUUUGGUCUUUCAGGAUAUUGAGAGAAGAAAGAAGAAUUUUAUUUUCAGAGUUUGGAAACUUGGGGAGAGGAAGAGAAGAUAGUAAUUUGAAUAGUACUAUAGUAGCCAGAAAUCUAGAGGUGACACACUCAAGUUGGUGUACAUUCUUUGCAAUAAAAGUAUUUACUUGAGAAUUAGAGAGAAGGAGAUCUUAUUUCUAUGCUUUAGGGAGUGUCGUUUUUUCUU